rnacentral:rRNA from 1 species
AUUGAACGCUGGCGGCAUGCUUUACACAUGCAAGUCGAACGGUAACAGGGAGCUUGCUCCGCUGACGAGUGGCGAACGGGUGAGUAAUAUAUCGGAACGUACCCAAGAGUGGGGGAUAACGUAGCGAAAGUUACGCUAAUACCGCAUACGAUCUAAGGAUGAAAGCAGGGGAUCUUCGGACCUUGUGCUCCUGGAGCGGCCGAUAUCUGAUUAGCUAGUUGGUGAGGUAAAGGCUCACCAAGGCGACGAUCAGUAGCUGGUCUGAGAGGACGACCAGCCACACUGGAACUGAGACACGGUCCAGACUCCUACGGGAGGCAGCAGUGGGGAAUUUUGGACAAUGGGCGCAAGCCUGAUCCAGCAAUGCCGCGUGAGUGAAGAAGGCCUUCGGGUUGUAAAGCUCUUUUGUCAGGGAAGAAACGGGAGUGGCUAAUAUCCAUUCCUAAUGACGGUACCUGUAGAAUAAGCACCGGCUAACUACGUGCCAGCAGCCGCAGUAA